UACGUAGGUGGCAAGCGUUGUCCGGCUUUACUGGGCGUAAAGGGAGCGUAGGCGGACUUUUAAGUGAGAUGUGAAAUACCCGAGCUCAACUUGGGUGCUGCAUUUCAAACUGGAAGUCUAGAGUGCAGGAGAGGAGAAGGGAAUUCCUAGUGUAGCGGUGAAAUGCGUAGAGAUUAGGAAGAACACCAGUGGCGAAGGCGAUUCUCUGGACUGUAACUGACGCUGAGGCUCGAAAGCGUGGGGAGCAAACAGG
rnacentral:rRNA from 1 species